GGUCCUUCCCGCAGUUGGCACAGGAGA
rnacentral:sRNA from 1 species